CUCCGGGCUUCUCCGCAACUGUCGCUCCCUUCUUCGCCGCAGAUCCCGUGCUUUUUCCGCUCCAUCCGAGCUCCUCUACCCAGCCCUGUACGGGUAAAUCCGCCGUCGCCGCCUUCUCCGCUCCCCCCGCCCUACCCGGGAAAACCCGCUGCCGCCAGUCCCGCCCACCCGUACCCGGGAGAAACCGCUGCCGCCAUUCCCGCCCCGGGCUUCUCCGCAACACCCGCCACAGCCGCUUCGGGCUUCUCCGCAACAGCCGCACUGGGUUCCCCGCCCACGUGUGGUCCCAUGGAGGAGACCCCACUGCCACCAGACCCUCCCUAUAAGUACCUCGUCAUCGAGGGCAACACCACGGUGGAGACGGCGAGUACACAUCCUCCGGCCCCCUUGCGAGUUGAUCGACUCUGUAACAAGGUGGAGGCGCUGUACGAGCUGUACAAGAAGAUCCCUUCAAACUGACCAACAGAUCUAGCACUGAAUUGUGGCCUGCCAUUGUGUUAAGCUUUGCGCUGGAUGAUCAGCCAGAAGGUGCAGGACUGCUGAGGUGCAACUUGUCGGCAUUGUAUCUUUGCAUUAUCAGGAUGUGCACGAACUAAGAAAGAAGUUUCUGGUUGACCUGCUAAAAUACAAUGGGAAUGAAUCUAAAGACAACAUCCCUGAAGUUGUACGAGAAUUUGUUAAACGUAUUAGAUAGUGUAUUGUUUCGGAAUGAGAUA